rnacentral:rRNA from 1 species
CAGUCGCCGCGGUAAUACAGAGGGUGCGAGCGUUAAUCGGAUUUACUGGGCGUAAAGCGUGCGUAGGCGGCUUCUUAAGUCGGAUGUGAAAUCCCUGAGCUUAACUUAGGAAUUGCAUUCGAUACUGGGAAGCUAGAGUAUGGGAGAGGAUGGUAGAAUUCCAGGUGUAGCGGUGAAAUGCGUAGAGAUCUGGAGGAAUACCGAUGGCGAAGGAAGCCAUCUGGCCUAAUACUGACGCUGAGGUACGAAAGCAUGGGGAGCAAACAGGAUUAGAUACCCGUGUAGUCCCUGUCUCUUAUAC